rnacentral:rRNA from 1 species
AUUGAACGCUGGCGGCAGGCCUAACACAUGCAAGUCGAACGAGUGGCGGACGGGUGAGUAAUGUCUGGGAAACUGCCCGAUGGAGGGGGAUAACUACUGGAAACGGUAGCUAAUACCGCAUACCAUCGGAUGUGCCCAGAUGGGAUUAGAUUGUAGGUGAGGUAACGGCUCACCUAGGCGACGAUCCCUAGCUGGUCUGAGAGGAUGACCAGCAAAACGGGAACUGAGACACGGUCCAGACUCCUACGGGAGGCAGCAGUGGGGAAUAUUGCACAAUGGGCGCAAGCCUGAUGCAGCCAUGCCGCGUGUAUGAAGAAGGCCUUCGGGUUGUAAAGUACUGUCAGCGGGGAGGCGUUACCCGCUGAAGAAGCACCGGCUAACUCCGUGCCAGCCGCCGCGGUAAUUC